CUGACGGAUACAUCGAUUGAUAUGUCAAUUGAUUUAUCUGGAUGGCUAAUAAGUUUACAUAGAAAACUGCACAUUUUUAAAUUAAUUUGUAAUAUUUGUGUCCAUAUUCUUAAAGCGUCACCAUUUUUGUCGAUCCCAGGAUUUUUGUUUUCACUCUGGAAUGCAGAAAUUCCCACGUAGACCCUUGGCCCCUUUUCACUAAGAAAAGUUCCCAUAGCCAGUCUCAUACUUGACGCGCGCUUUUCUUGCCUGGAUGAAUUCUCUCACCGCUCCUCCUGGAAUCUCCCACCCUCCCCUGCCCCGCUGAAUGUUUUUUUUUUUCUUUAAGGGACUUCACGGAGGAAUGCCAUUCAGCUCAUUCAACCCGACGCCCCCCAAAUCUCUCCUGCAAACGUGUCCUCGCUGAUUCUCUCAAAGAAUUAAUUGCUGCAAAUAAUCUCGCCAUCUGGUUGGGGAGGUCCGUACCUGUGAGGCUGCUUGCAUUGCAGAGGUUGGGGUCUAUUCAGAUGCCCGCAAUGCUGCUGUGGCGCGCCCCGGACGCCUGCAAGGGCGGCAUCACUAUGAUCCGACUGCAGGCCGCACACGGGACGUCCAGAGAAGAGAGGGUGCGAAGAAUUAGAAGGAGACUGGGGAAGACAGAAUGCACAGAAGCACGUUGAGAGCAAGCCGGCGUCUCAUCAUUUUUAUUUCCCCUUUUUUAAUUCUCUCAUGGUUUUGACUGGAGUAAUAACGCUCUCCCACGUUUCCCUGUCAUCAAAUAAAGCCAGAAGUCAUUUGAAGAGGUGUAAACGG
rnacentral:lncRNA from 1 species